rnacentral:rRNA from 1 species
AGUGGCGUACGGGUGAGUAACACGUGACUAACCUGCCUUCGAGUGGGGAAUAACCCCGGGAAACCGGGGCUAAUACCGCAUAACAUCGGGAGAUCAAAGCAGAAAUGCGCUUGAAGAGGGGGUCGCGGCUGAUUAGUUAGUUGGCGGGGUAACGGCCCACCAAGACGAUGAUCAGUAGCCGGCCUGAGAGGGCGCACGGCCACACUGGAACUGAAACACGGUCCAGACUCCUACGGGAGGCAGCAGUGGGGAAUUUUGCGCAAUGGGGGAAACCCUGACGCAGCAACGCCGCGUGGAGGAUGAAGUCCCUUGGGACGUAAACUCCUUUCGAUCGGGACGAUUAUGACGGUACCGGAAGAAGAAGCCCCGGCUAACUUCGUGCCCAGCAGCCGCGGUAAUUACGAGGGGGGCAAGCGUCGUUCGGAAUUAUUGGGCGUAAAGGGCGCGUAGGCGGUGCGGUAAGUCUGAUGUGAAAUCUCCGGGCUCAACUCGGAGUCUGCAU